rnacentral:lncRNA from 1 species
CACAGCCACACCACUCGUUUUACUCGGCUCGAGAUGAGGAGGAGGACGAGCGCCGCGCUGCUCGCCGACGCGAAGCUCUAGGACGGCGCACUCCGGGUUCCCGCCGACCGGCUCAAGCGAGGCGAGUGGCCGCGGCGGCCGUCGAGGCCACCUCCGUCUGCGCGCACAUUGAUUGCUCGACCUGGCGGCCAUCAUCGAGGCUGGCGCGCUCCGGGUCCGCGCCGACCGACUCAACGAGGCGACGUGGGCGGAGAGCGAGCGCCGCCUGCUUGCCCGCGCCGCCGUCGAGGCCGCCUCCGUCUGCGCGCACCUAGCCGCCGUCCAUGGCCACUGUUGCGGCUGCUCUAAUCGCUCGGUGCGGCUAUCACCUCCCAUGCGGCUGGGCGUCCUUGCCGCAGGCCCGCAGCCACAGCCAGGGGGCAGCGCACCCUAUGGCUGCAAGAUUGGGGAGGCGCACUACUCGAUGACGGGCGUGGCGGUCCUCCGCAUCAUCUUUUGCUGCAAGGCUGCAGGGAAUCCAUGCUCGUCGUUGUUCGCUAGGUGACGCCGCAGCCGCAGGUCGAGCUUGACCACCACGGCGGCAAACUGCAAAAGGCAUUUGGAUCUUUUUCCACUGCAGGUGGCAACAUCCUCAACCCCCCGUCUUUUUUUUCAUUUUUGUUAGUUUGAUUAUCUGCAAAUUGAUGUGCCAUGACCCAGUAGAGGCACAUCCGAGUUUUGUGUUUAGUUUUCUCACCCCAAAUUGCAUCCCAUGACCCAGUAAACUAGUACAGAUGACAUGCCAUGACCCAGUGCACUAGUAGAUAUGUCAUGGCAAUUUUCACCCCCAUUCUGUACCAUGGUAUUUUUGUGAUAUGUAGUUUUCGAUCUGGUUCAGAACUGGUAGGGAUAUUCUAGGGCAAUUUCCAAUAUGCAGUGAACGGCAAAUUUAGAAUCGUUCCACCACAAUUUUUCCAUUUUGUUUUCUUAGGGAGAACCAAAUUUUGCCGCGCCAAAUUCAUACGUUCUGCCAUCACUACAUAGGAGUUCUUUUUUGCCAUGCCGUAGUUUUGCCAUCAAGUUUUACAUUUCUGUCAUAGUUUUGAUGUGUCAAUCGCAUUAUUUCUUCGAGCUGAUGCAUUUUAUUUUUGAAUUUUCAUGUAGCUAGCUGAGUAAUGUUAUGUCCUAUGAAAUUCGGUGACUUUCGUAACAUGGCAUUUCUGUCACAACAAUUCCAUUAUUUUUUGUCACAUGGCAUAUUCUGUCAUUUUUCAUUUUCCUAGUCUUUUUGUUCAUAACUUGGCAAAUUCAUUAAUGGUCACAUGGCAAAUUCAGCUAUGGUCAAAUGGGAAAUAUAUUAGAAAACUAUUUAACAUACAUGGCAAGUUUCUUUUUAAAGCAUGGCAAAUUUAGUUCAUGGAUCAUGGCAAAUUUUACUAAUUCACCAUGGCAAAUUUAGUUUAUGCAUCAUGACAUUUUUACUAAUUCACCAUGGCAAAUUGUAGUUAGAGACAAUAAUUCUAAAUUGUUAUAAUAAAGUUGCCAUGGCAAACUAUAAAAAGAAAAUAAUUCUAGGUUAGUUAUCAAGAAAGUUGCCAUGGCGAAAAAUUGUAAAUAGAGACAGUAAUUCUAAGUUGUUACCAAAAAUUUGCCAUGGAAAUUUGUUGAGACAAAAAUAAUUCUAAGUUGUUAUCAGAAAAGUUGCCAUGGCAAAUUAUAGAGAGACACAUAAUUCUAAGUUUCUAUCAGAAAGUUGCCAUGGAAAUUUCGUAGAGUGAUUUUUUUAAGUUGACAUCAGAAGGUUGCCAUGGCAAAUUGUAGAGAGAACUAAUUCGAAGUUAGUUAUCAGAAAAGUUUCCAUGGCAAUUUUAAGAUGUUAAAAAACAUGGCAAGGUUUUAGAUGUUCAAAAACAUUCCAACUUGCCAUGGCAAUGUUUCAGAUUUUCAAAAACAUUCCAACUUGCCAUGGCAACGUUAUAGAUGUUGAAAAACAUGGCAAACUUGCCAGGGCAACUUAAGAUGUUCAAAAAUAUGGCAAACUUACAGAUGUUCAAAAACAUGUUAAACUUGCCAUGCCAUUUUUAAAAUGUUCAAAACCAUUUGCAAACUUGCCACGGCAAACUAAAGAUGUGCAAAAACAUGGCAAACUUUUUUUAUUAAGUUCAUACAUAAAUAUGGCAAACUUCUUAAGAUGUUCAAAAACAUGGCAAACUUGCCAUGGCAACUAAAGAUGUUCGAAAUCAUGGCAACCUAAUAUGCUGAAAAACAUGGCAAACUUGCCAUGUCAACUAAAAUCACUAUUUGUUUGUAGUUGUGUUUUUUCCCACGACAACUUAUAUAGCCAUGGGUAAACUAACUUUUAAAUCCCAUGGAAAUUUUAAAUUAACUUGUAUAGCCAUGGGCAAUUAACUUUCAAAGCCCAUGGCAAAUUCACCAUUUUAUUGACAUGGCAAGUUUUGUUUCUUAUGUUUGGCAUGGCAACUUUUAUCCUUUAUCGCCAUGGCAUUUUUACUUAUGCAUGCAUGGCAAAUUUUACUUAUCAUUUACGACAAUUUUUACUUCUCAUUCUCCAUGGCAAAUAUACCUUCAUUUUUUGCCAUGGCAAUUUUCAGUUAGUGGAAAUAAUGCAUAAUUUUGCCAUGUUUCUUGUGCACCGAAUAUGCAUAAAUUUGCCAUGUCCUGGAAUACAUAAAUUUGCCCAUGUGACAAGUCUGAAAAUUUCAUAGUUUUGCCAUGUGACCAGGCAUGGAACUUGCCAUGCUAUGAACAAAUUCCAUAAACUUGCUUUUUUGUGACUAGUACUCCAAAAAAUACAUUCUACAUUUUCCAUUAUUCAGAUUGUAGCAUGGCAUUUUCCAGUUUAUUGGCACGGCAAUUUUUACUUUUCUUUUUUGUCAUGGGAAUUAUUUUUUGCCAUUGUAUUUUUGAAUUUUUUGCCCUGGCAACUUUCCCAUGCUUUUGUUAGGAAUCAAAUAUGUUGUAAACCUUGCUAUUUGUAAAAUUAUAUCAUGGAAAAUCAUAAAAUAGUUUGGUCAAACUCGAAUGGUACUUUUUGAAAUUCUCCCUGGCAUUUUUCUGCUUCUAAAGUUGAUGACAUUUUUUUUGUAGUAUAGCAAAAACUAGUCUUUUUAUUUGUCACAGAAAAAGUAAACAGAAUCUGGGCUUCUUCUUUUGUUGUGCUAUUGGGCUUUUUUUUCUUUUUCAUUUUACAUGAAAAAGGCCCGGGCCUGGGGAGGGCGUUCGUGAUUUCGAUGCUCUCUCCUCCCGAAGGCAAAUUUGACAAAUUUGACCUAGAGACGAAAUCAAAUCACAGAAUGAACUGUCCGUGAAACUAUUUCACGCGGCUGACCCGUGGCGCCUAGCUCUCAGGCGCUGCACUAGUGCAACACCUGGGAGCUAGGCGCUGCACUAGUGCAACGCCUGGUAGCUAGGCGCUACACUGUAUAGUGUGGCGCUUAGCUCUCAGGUGCUGCACACUGACUUAGUAAUUUUCUGAUCACACGGGUGCGACGCUGGCCGUGUAGCGCCUAUCUGUGAGGCGUUGCACAGUGUAGUGUGGCGCCUUCGUGUCGGGCGUCACACAAAAAGGUCAGCCGCGUGAAAUAGUUUCACGGAUAGUUCAUUCUGUGAUUUGAUUUCGUCUAUAGGUCAAAUUUGUCAAAAAUUGCCCCUGCCGAACGAAAGCGUUCGUGAGGGGUCCAGACCGAACAUUCGGGAGAUAUCGGCGUCCUAUUUGUUUUGUCGCUGCGACUGGGCCUGUGUGUUCUGGUCCCGCCUGUAAGUUCAAAGGGUAGAAGUGGGUCGGUUCAUUUGAAACUUACAGCGCCUCGGUGCCUGGGUUUGUCAGGGAUGCACUGUGAUCACAUUCGUUGAACCGUCGUGGUGGGUGGGUGCGCAGCCCUCGCAGUUUUCUCCCCCCGCACCCCUCUCCUUGCCGAUCUCGCCAGUCGCUUGUCCUCAACCCCACCUUCAGCUUGCCUCUCGACCUUCCUCGUUGCUCACUUCGCCUGGCUCCGCCUUCCCAUCCCCACGGUGGAGUGCGAGGACGAGAUGACGACCGGGUCAUCCGUCAGCCUCGCCGCCGGGGAGCAGUCGGCCCGCGGUCGCGCGGUGCUCUCCGGCCCGCCGAACACGGUCCUGGCAUCGUCCGCGUCGGCGAUGGGCCCGUCGAUGUCGGCCCCCUCGGCGCUACGAGGUCCGUCCGCUCGCCUACCUGGUGCGAUUGUUUGGUUCAUCUCGAUCGGCAUUGAUCUGAUUUGAUUUUUAUUCGUGCGGUGCGUUUUAUGGUGUGAUGGAUGGCGCAGGGGCAAGGGCAGCCACGGCUCGCACGAGAUGCAGCUCCUGCUCGUGGAGUUAAAGGCCGGUGUUGGGGCCCUCAGCGGCGAGGAGGACGACUUGUCGUGUGUACGCAGUUUUCCUCCCGCUCGUGGAGUGCGCGUUUCGGGCCAGCCUCGAGGGUGGCCGUCCGGACGGCGACGAGCUUCGUCUCUGCAUCCAGACCUGCGACGCCGGCAGGCACGCCACUUCUUCGCCCCUCAGUCGCCGGUGCUUUCGUUCUGUCUACGGCGAUGGGGUUGCUUCCUCUGCUCCAUUCAUGUCGCUGAGGUUUGUUCUUCCAUCCUCUUCCUUCCUUUGCCUCCUCAAAUUCUUCUUUGGUCUUACUCCUUACAGUAGAUUUCUGUCCUCCGUAGGUUUUGUGAUGUUUGCCUGUUUCUCGCUCUGGAGUAGGUCCCUGCGUCAAUCUUGCCUUCGGCAUUGAGGUGAGAAAAUUAGCCCCACCUUUUCUUGCUGCCCUACUGUUCGGUGAAAUGCUUGUGCCCUGAUGGAUUCCGUUCUUUUUUCCCUUGUGUUCCUUCGCGUCCUGCUUCUUGCCUGCUUUGCAAGUCUUUGUUUCAUCUGUUGGCUCGGUUCAGUUGAUUGUCCGUGCCUGGGUAUGUUCUGUGUACGAUGCAAAUUCGGAACAAUGGAUUUGGUUUUCUGAACCACAAAACUUGUCUAGCUUGAAUUAGCAGAUUACACCAUGAAAAUAUAUUGUCCUUUAAAAAAUACUGUGUAUUAGUACCUCUUUAGACCCUGCUGCUUGCGAUCUGAACCAGUAUAUACUUUUCUACAGUUUAGAUGUUAUAUCAGUUUGCAGAUGAAUUCGUGGCUAAUACUAGCAUUGUGAAUUUUUCAUGUUUGUCUUCCUUCCUUUCAACCUGAUGCAUUCAGCAACUCAGCAACAGGGACUGAUCAGCAUGUGCAUAAUGCUCGUUGGUGACUAUUCCUUGCUUUCUUAUCACAUGUACGCCAUGGUUAUGAGGGAUUAUCUUAACUCUAUUGCUAGAUACUGUGUUUGAGUUUUAUCCAUCUGUUAACCACCACCUGAAAAUGGUAUCAAAAUGUCUAUGCUUAAUUGUUCAGACACUGGAGCAGAAAAGGCUAUAAUUUGGUCUCACUUUGAUUCUGUUACGACUAGAUAUCAAGUUUAUAGCAUGUGAACUCUAAAGAGUAGGAACUAAGGCUGCGUUCGGUUUCUCUCGGCUCCGUUAACUCCGCUCCCGGAGCGGACCAUCCUUUAGCUUAAUUAGGCGGAGCUGCCAAAACCCAACUCCUGAACUCCACGGAGCGGGGAAGUUCCGAACACGGCCUAAAUCUUGUGCUUAAUCACUGCCUACCCUCCUGAGAACCAAAGCAAAAAAUGUAUAGUCCACACAAGUUUUAGUUAAGAUUGUAUCCAUAUCAUAUGGUACAGGUAUUGCCUUGCUGAUACUGACGUUUUGCUGAACCUAGACUUAUAAAUUGCCCUGUAUCACACUCACACAGGUGGAUCCUCGGUAUACAAAUUAGUACUUAAGCAUUGGCUUUUCUGAAUAAGAAUAACGGCGUACAUACCUGAAGAAUUAAAACUUGCAAUAAUAUAUAUUUCUACUUUGUACCACCUGUCUGAGAAUGUCAUAAGUCUUGUUUUUACACAUCUUGAAAUUUCUCAAUCUAUUUAUGAUUCUGCACAACUUUCAGUCUAUAAUUAAUUUUCCUGUCAACCAGCAUCCCAAGCAAGCAAUAUCAAGGUUGGUUAGCACACGUGUUACGCUUCCUAUAUAUGAUAUGGUCCAUAUAUGCACAUUACACGUAAAAAACUUGAGUUUCAUGCAAAGAUUUAAAAAAACAGCUUAUUUUCUAUCCGUGCACUCUUGGUAAAAAGUACCGCAUAUUGAAACUUGUGCAUUGUACCUUGCAGAUAUUGCAAGGCAUCUUCUUCCCGUCUCAGUAAUCAAAAAGUGCACCAUUGGACUGAUGUACCGGAAAGGGUAGUGCCACUGGAGAUAAUUAUUUCAGAUCACCUUCUACUUGAUGGAAGUCAUUAUCAGAAUGUAUGCAUACAACAACAACAACAACAACAACAAAGCCUUUAGUCCCAAACAAGUUGGGGUAGGCUAGAGGUGAAACCCAUAAGAUCUCGCAACCAACUCAUGGCUCUGGCACAUGGAUAGCAAGCUUCCACGCACCCCUGUCCAUAGCUAGCUCUUUGGUGAUACUCCAAUCCUUCAGGUCUCUCUUAACGGACUCCUCCCAUGUCAAAUUCGGUCUACCCCGCCCUCUCUUGACAUUCUCCGCAUGCUUUAGCCGUCCGCUAUGCACUGGAGCUUCUGGAGGCCUGCGCUGAAUAUGCCCAAACCAUCUCAGACGAUGUUGGACAAGCUUCUCCUCAAUUGGUGCUACCCCAACUCUAUCUCGUAUAUCAUCAUUCCGGACUCGAUCCUUCCUCGUGUGGCCACACAUCCAUCUCAACAUACGCAUCUCCGCCACACCUAAUUGUUGAACAUGUCGCCUUUUAGUCGGCCAACACUCCGCGCCAUACAACAUUGCGGGUCGAACCGCCGUCCUGUAGAACUUGCCUUUUAGCUUUUUUGGCACUCUCUUGUCACAGAGAAUGCCAGAAGCUUGGCGCCACUUCAUCCAUCCGGCUUUGAUUCGAUGGUUCACAUCUUCAUCAAUACCCCCAUCCUCCUGCAACAUUGACCCCAAAUACCAAAAGGUGUCCUUCCGAGGUACCACCCGGCCAUCAAGGCUAACCUCCUCCUCACACCUAGUAGUACUGAAACCGCACAUCAUGUACUCGGUUUUAGUUCUACUAAGCCUAAACCCUUUCGAUUCCAAGGUUUGUCUCCAUAACUCUAACUUCCUAUUUACCCCCGUCCGACUAUCGUCAACUAGCACCACAUCAUCUGCAAAGAGCAUACACCAUGGGAUAUCUCCUUGUAUAUCCCUUGUGACCUCAUCCAUCACCAAUGCAAAAAGAUAAGGGCUCAAAGCUGACCCCUGAUGUAGUCCUAUCUUAAUCGGGAAGUCAUCGGUCUCGACAUCACUUGUUCGAACACUUGUCACAACAUUAUCGUACAUGUCCUUGAUGAGGGUAAUGUACUUUGCUGGGACUUUGUGUUUCUCCAAGGCCCACCACAUGACAUUCCGCGGUAUCUUAUCAUAGGCCUUCUCCAAGUCAAUGAACACCAUAUGCAAGUCCUUCUUUUGCUCCCUAUAUCUCUCCAUAAGUUGUCGUACCAAGAAAAUGGCUUCCAUGGUCGACCUCCCAGGCAUGAAACCAAACUGAUUUUUGGUCACGCUUGUCAUUCUUCUUAAGCGGUGCUCAAUGACUCUCUCCCAUAGCUUCAUUGUAUGCCUCAUCAGCUUAAUUCCACGGUAAUUAGUACAACUCUGAACAUCCCCCUUGUUCUUGAAGAUUGGUACUAAUAUACUCCGUCUCCAUUCUUCUGGCAUCUUGUUUGCCCGAAAAAUGAGGUUGAAAAGCUUGGUUAGCCAUACUAUCGCUAUGUCCCCGAGACCUUUCCACACCUCAAUGGGGAUACAAUCAGGGCCCAUCGCCUUGCCUCCUUUCAUCCUUUUUAAAGCCUCCUUCACCUCAGACUCCUGGAUUCGCCGCACAAAACGCAUGCUGGUCUCAUCAAAGGAGUCGUCCAGUUCAAUGGUAGAACUCUCAUUCUCCCCAUUGAACAGCUUGUCGAAGUACUCCCGCCAUCUAUGCUUAAUCUCCUCGUCCUUCACCAAGAGUUGGCCUGCUCCGUCCUUGAUGCAUUUGACUUGGCCAAUAUCCCUCGUCUUCCUCUCUCGGAUCUUGGCCAUCUUAUAGAUGUCCCUUUCACCUUCCUUCGUGCCUAACCGUUGGUAGAGGUCCUCAUAUGCCCGACCCCUUGCUUCACCAACAGCUCGCUUUGCGGCCUUCUUCGCCAUCUUGUACUUCUCUAUGUUGUCUGCACUCCUAUCCAGGUAUAGGCGUCUGAAGCAAUCUUUCUUCUCUUUAAUCGCCUUCUGGACAUCAUCAUUCCACCACCAGGUAUCCUUAUCUUCGCUUCUCCUUCCCCUGGACACUCCAAACUCCUCCGAGGCCACCUUACGAAUGCAAGUCGCCAUCUUCAUCCACACAUUGUCCUCAUCCCCUCCUUCCUCCCAAGGGCCCUCCUUAAUGACCCUCUCCUUGAACACCUGAGCUACCUCCCCCUUGAGCUUCCACCACUUCGUUCUAGCAACUUUGGCACGCUUAUCCCGCUGGACACGAAUCCGAAAGUGGAAGUCAGCAACCACCAACUUAUGCUGGGGUACAACACUCUCUCCAGGUAUCACCUUACAGUCUAGGCACGCACGCCUAUCUUCUCUUCUCGAGAGGAUGAAAUCAAUCUGGCUAGUGUUGGCCACUACUAAAAGUCACCAGAUGUGAUUCUCUCUUUCUAAAGAGGGUGUUAGCUACAAUCAUGUUGUAGGCUAGAGCAAAGCUUAAGACAUCUUCUCCUUCUUGAUUCCUGAUGCCAUAGCCAAAGCCCCCAUGCGCCCCUUCAAAACCUGUGUUAGAUGUACCCACGUGGCCAUUGAGGUCUCCUCCUAUGAAGAGCUUCUCACCAAUUGGUACACUCCUAACCUAACCAUGUCUUCCAGGCCUUCCCAGAACUCCCUCUUGGUGUUCUCAUUGUGGCCUACUUGCGGGGCAUACGCGCUGAUAACAUUGAGAACCAAGUCCUCAACUACCAGCUUGACCAGGAUAAUCCGGUCCCCAUGUCUCUUGACGUCUACCACUCCAUACUUGAGGCUCUUGUUGAUCAAGAUGCCUACGCCAUUUCUGUUUGCAGCCGUCCCCGUGUACCACAGCUUGAAGCCGGUAUCGUCCACCUCCUUCGCCUUCUGUCCUCUCCAUUUGGUUUCUUGGACGCAAAGGAUAUCAACCCCUCUCCUCACCGCUGCAUCAACUAGCUCCCGAAGCUUCCCUGUCAGAGACCCUACGUUCCAGCUACCUAAGCGAAUCCUCCUAGGCUCGGCUAGCUUCCUUACCCUUCGCACUCGUCGAGUCAAAUGCGAAGACCCUUGCUCAUUUUCCACUACAUCCGGGCGCCGAUGUAGCGUGCCACUAAGGAUGCGACGACCUGAUCCUCGCUCACUUGCCACCGUAUCCGGAUCAAGAUACGGCGCGCCACUUGGGGGGUGACGGCCCGGCCCUUGCCCAUUUUCCACCACACCCGGGUUCCGAUGUGGCGCGUCCGCUGCAUCAGAAUGUAUGCAUCAUCGUGGUAUUUACUCAUGUACUAUGAAAUUAAACUGAGCUAACUGAAUUAUCUUUGCAAAAAAAUAUUAGACCAUGUAUAUUACCAAGUGUGUUCUUAUUUUUCGCUUUUCAGGUAGUUGUUAUAGGGGAGAACAAAGUAUUAAUAUUGCUGAUUUGUAAUAUAGAAUGAUCCUUAUGGUCAGAUUUGGCUAAAUUUUUAUGAAUGUGUCGCUUGAGUGUCCCAAAUAUGUGCUGGAUUUGAUUAGUAUGUUGUAUGCUUGCUAUGUUCCAGCCUUCCAGGAGGAUUGUUCUGGGAAUACAUUGACAAACAUGUUCUGCUUUUAAUGUUAUUUCUGUACAUAAAACAUACCAAAUUAAGAACUAAUGUACCCUUCUUACUUGGAAAUAGCUUGAUCUGGUUGGAGAUGUUCUAGCAUUCAGCGUGGGUUCUUGGGUUAGGCUGGCUUCUAGGAUUGACCGAUGCUAAAUUAAGAACUAGGAUUUGGCAGCAGGCAUGGUCUGUCCGGCGUGCUCAAGCCUUUUAGGUUGUUAUUAUCAUUUACAAUUAGGUUAUGCUAAACCAGCAAAUAGAGCUUCACCAUUUAAAAUUUUGAUCCACCAAUGGUGCUCCAGUGAUUUCUACUUAUUUGUUGUCGUGUCUUGGUAGUUUGAUAGAAUAGGGCAUGCUUUUCAUAUAGUUUCGUUACAUGAUGUUACAUCGGUUUUCUGACAGAUUAAUCCAUCACAAGCAAACAAAAUAGGAGACAAGGCAUCAUGAAGCAACCAUAGCAGGCUAUGACAAUUGGUUGUAAUAAAUAAAUGGAGAAUACCCACUGGACAGAAGUUUCUGAGCUAAAUAUGUUAGCCAUCCUAAACCCACUAAAAAACAAAAGAGAACAAUACCGAACCUGAGUAGUAUUUCAAUUUUAUUUCAUAUUAUUUCAUAUAUAUCUGUCAUCAUAUAAGUAUAUUGCAAAUAGAAGGGCUAAAAACAACUGUAGAAUUUCUGCCAAAUGAAGCUAUGCAAUAUAUGGAGCUAACUUGCAAUAGGAUCCCAUGGGAUUACAACUAUGAGAAGGACAGUCUGCUAAGAAAGAAAUUCAGUCCACUCAAAACGAAAAUCAGUCUCUUUUGCGUCAGAUUGAACAAAAAAAAAAGAGACAAGGCCAUCAACAGCCUAACAAAAGGUUGGGGUGGUGCGCUAGACACUGGCUAUGACACCAAGGAUGAGCUUCAAUGUAUAAGAUAUGUCAGAGUGUCGGCUUAAUCAUGCCUUGCUUCAUGUGCAGUAUGUUGAACUCACCUUGAUGAAUCAACCUUGGUCUCAGUCUCUCAAAUGAUAUGCUGCAGCAAACAAAGUCAGGACCUUGCUAUUCAGAUGAUGAACAGCAGUGCUGAUGAGUUGGGUGCUUUCAACUAUGAUAGCUCGGAUGAAGAACUCUACCGCUCAGGUGAUGGGCUAGCUUCCUUUUCCUUAUAAGUUGUGCCCCACUUAUAUAUUUGGCAAGCUUAUGAUCUUACUAACAAUGGUACUAAUGCGACAUCUAUAGCCCUGCCCUGCGAAUUGCUUUUGUUAUGUGCAAGUAUGAGAUCUGAUGUUGUAGGAACACAAUGUAUUUUUACACCCACUGCUUUAAGAUGCUUUUGUACACGCCCCUGCAUAUUGCUGUUCUACUAUGGAGGCUUCUUAUGCCUGGUGCUUGCUUCUAUUAACCAACUCUGUUGAUAGACUGCCAUCAAAUGAAGUACGGUACAGAUGAGACAUUCAGCAAUGACUACCUAAUACCACCGUCUUCAUGUCUUGGUCUUUUCAUCUGGCAGUAGAUACAAGACUCAGCCUAAUGUUAAGAGACAAGUGCUAUAUCUAUGAUGCAUCUCUCCUAAUACAACUUGGUUUAUAAAGCCAAUGUAAGCUAUCAUCAAGUGAUCUCAUAACUUUCUUUUGAGCUAUCAUGCUACCAUGUAAUAGAAUAUAUAACAAUAUGUGUACCUAAGUAUCUAUUAAUUUGGUUCUAAAUCACUCAUUUGCAUGGUUUAAAUGCCCGGCUCGUUUCUCGCUUUUUGUGCCAUGGGCACAACGGGGUCAUCUAGUUACUACAAAGCAUAAUGUAAUGCGUGCCAUCAUUCUUUGUUUAGUACUGUUGAAUUAAAAUAAUAAUCUGCCUUUUUGUUCAUUACCAUUUUUUAACAUUGCUAUUUCUGCUUUUAUGUGGUCCUUGAAACUUGUAAUCUGCUUGAGGCUAUGUUAAAACUUCAUCAAGUGUGAAGAUAUGACACUUGCAUGGACCUGUGCUAACUGAACUGUAUUUGUUAGGUUUGAUCUCUACCAGCACAAGAAGCUUGAUGAGCAAGAAGCACUAGAACUGGAGGCAAAAGGCUGUAGCUUUUCUGUUCUGUAUAACCAUUCUAGCCAAGUUGAUGGAGUUUCUAAUGUCACUGCUUGUUGAGCUGUGAUUUAUUUUCGCCGUUCAUAAUCAGUCUUGCCCAUGAUGUACCACAAAUGAUCCUCUAAUGCAAUGUAACACUUGAUAUGUAUUUAUGUCUCUUCUGUUGGUUCAUGAUUGUGAUUGUGCAGUUUGAAAUCUAUGUUUGCUUGAAGUGGAUGAAUUAAGUCUCAUGCACUGAAAGAUAUUUCUGAUGAUGCUCACAUACUUUUUAGUGACCAACAUGUUCGAAUUUCUUGCAUGAUUCGUGAUAACACAAGUUACUGACGAAAUUAGAUACACAGAAGCUUCA